AUAUCAAUAAGCGGAGGAAAAGAAACUAACAAGGAUUCCCCUAGUAACGGCGAGUGAAGCGGGAAGAGCUCAAGCUUAAAAUCUCCGUGCAAGUUUUGCGCGGCGAAUUGUAGUCUAUAGAGGCGUGGUCAGCGUGGGCGCUUGGGGCAAGUUCCUUGGAAGAGGACAGCAUGGAGGGUGAUACUCCCGUUCAUCCCUGAGUGGCUCGUGCGUACGACCCGUUUUCUUUGAGUCGCGUUGUUUGGGAAUGCAGCGCAAAGUAGGUGGUAAAUUCCAUCUAAAGCUAAAUAUUGGUGCGAGACCGAUAGCGAACAAGUACCGUGAGGGAAAGAUGAAAAGAACUUUGAAAAGAGAGUUAAAGAGUACCUGAAACUGCUGAAAGGGAACCGAAUCGUUUCCAGUGUCUAUAAUCCGUGGCAUAUUUCAUUGGCGAGCGUUUGCGUGCGUGUGCUGUGGCAGUGGCUUUUUUGGCUGCGCCUGGCGUGUGUGCUGUGAGUGUUUGCUGGUGCCCUGUGCUGCGGUGGGACGUCAAGGUCAGUUCGUAUGCUGCGGGAAAUGGCUGCCGAGGAGGUAGGGCUUACGCUCCGCGUUUGUCUGUUAUAUCUUGGUGGACGAGUCGUCGUGGUUGGGACUGAGGUGCCUACAACGUGCUUUUGAGUGGGUUUGUGUCUCCGUGUGCGCCGUGUGCGGAUAGCUUGCUAUGCGUGUGUGGUUGUGUGUGGAUUGAUGCGGGCCUUAACUUGUCGCCGUUCGGGACGUUGACGAAAUGGAGCGAUCCGACCCGUCUUGAAACACGGACCAAGGAGUCUAACAUGUGU
rnacentral:rRNA from 1 species